GGGGUUAUGGCUCAGUGGCAGAGCACUUGCCUAGCAUGUGUGAGGCACUUAGUUUGAUCCUUAGCACCA
rnacentral:tRNA from 1 species